GAAACCAUCGUAACGGAGCUGGUGUCGGUGGUCACAAUCACACUCACGUAUGGUGGCCAAUGAUAUGUUUUACAGGUUGUCGAUGUUAGUUUACAUGUCCAUUCACUUAAAUAAACAACAUUGCAAGACAGCCAGAUUCAUUUAGCUGAUUAGCUAACGUUAUCAGCUAGCUAACGUUAUCAGCUAGCUAACGUUGACGUUAUCAGCUAGCUAACGUUAGCUAUACUGUAACGGUCAGCUAGCCAGCCAGUUAGCUACAGCUUUUUGCAAAGAAGAUAACUAGCUAGCUAUCUAUGUUUGUCUUUCAUCAGUUGAGGAGGCCUAACCUAUGUGGUCAAGAUGUACUGACUAAGCAGGUUGCAGACUGGUCAAAUACAAAGUUACAGAACACUUAUGACCCUGACCAGCCCUUGUUUCACCAAGAACAAGCUCAGGGAGAGGGAGGUAGCAGAGAAGGUCAACAACAACAAUGGGAACCAGGACUAGGAGAAGGAGCAACCAACCAAAGGAAAGAGGAAGAGUAAAAGGGAGUUGCCUCCAGCCUCAGUGCAGCAGGAGGACACUUAGAUCAUUUAGAUCGACCAGACUGACAAUACUGCUGGAAAUGCCAAAACAGCCAAAUCCAAGGCCUCCUUGGAGUCGGAAGACCCUGGGAAUAUACAUAGGAGAAAGAAUAAUAAAGGGAAGAGGAGAGGAGGAGGUGUCUGGGGCCAAGAGUGGGGCUGCGUUGGAACCCAAGGAUGAGUUACUCCAUGAGUACCAGUAGCAGAUGACAGAAAGAGGAGAGGCUACCGUGAAGAAGACUGUACACAAGAAGUCAACAACGGACAAGACCAACGCUGCCCCUCAGGAAGCAGUAACAUUAAACAAUGAAGGUGCAAAGAAGAAGAACAAGCUGAGGUCGUCGUUGGAUCCUGAGAGGGAGACGAGUAUGGUAGAAGAUCUGCAGAAUCGCCAGUCCGAGGACAUCACUGAGAGGAUGAGGUCCAAGGAGAAGAGCCAAGAGAACCACGACGAGGAGGACAGAGUAGAAUCUUUAAAAUCCAAAGGCAAAAAAAAGAAGAAAAUAAAACAAGGCAGAGCAGGCAACAGAUGGCACACAGACAGCAGAGUUGGG